rnacentral:rRNA from 1 species
AUGCAAGCCUCACGGUCUGCUUUGAAGAAAGAAAAUCCGUUGGGAAUGGAUGUAAUGUCAUCUGAAGAAUAUGCUUCGCAGUCUAAGUUACUGCUAGAAUUCACCAAUGUCCCAAGCAUUGAAAGUGCUUGGCUUUUCAAAACCAACAAUGAAGACAGAUCCACAGCGAUGUUUUCCAUUAGUCAGCCGGACCUGCUAGCGAACAACAAGAGGAAAUAUAUUUUGCAUUCUCAUAUUGUGACACGUGGAACCAUGCCUCUCGAGUGUCAUUGGUCUCCUUUCCCUAUUGAAAUGACCGGAGUGUCGGCUGUCGUUCCAUCCCGUUCGGGGUCAAAGCUUCUCGUGGUGCGGAACGGGGAGAAAGGCUCACGUACGACACUUCAGAUUGUUAACCAAUCACAUGUGGAGAAAGAGAUACAUGUUGGUCAGGCUAUCCAUGGUCCACUUUAUACCGAUGAGUGGUUUCAAGGGAUUUCCUGGAACCAUGAAGAGACCUCCAUAGCGUACAUCGCCGAACAGCCACCUCAACCAAAACCGGCUUUCGAUGAUGCCGGAUACAGAAAAGAAGGCUCUUCUGAGGAAGACUGUAAUAGUUGGAGAGGACAAGGGGAUUGGGAAGAGGACUGGGGUGAAACUUACUCCAGAAAGGGGAGACCCUCGUUGUUUGUUCUUGAUAUUGAUAGUGGAGAAGUACGUGCCGCUAGAGGAGUUACAAAACCAAUGAGUGCUGGUCAAGUUGUUUGGGCUCCGCCGUCUUCAAGUGGCCAUCGAAAGCUUUUGGUGUUCGUGGGAUGGUUAGAACACAACGGAUUUCAGGGCACCGCUAGAAAACUCGGCAUCAAGUACUGUUCUAACAGGCCAUGUUCUCUGUAUGCAAUUCAUUCCCCUUUUGAAGAAGAACCAGAUGCCGAUAACGCGUCUGUUGGUGGUAGUGAGUCAGUAUCUGCUUCAGUAGCAACCAACUUAACCCCAAGCAUAAGCAGCGCUUUAUUUCCACGGUUCAGCAAGGAUGGAAAACUCCUGGUGUUUCUGUCUUCAAAACGUGCAGUUGAUAGUGGAGCACAUAAUGCCACAGAUUCGCUGCAUCGAAUCGACUGGCCUUCUGAUUGGAAAGCAGAGCAACAACUCAGCGUGACCGAUGUGGUUCCUGUUGUAAUGUGCCCUCAAGAUGGAUGUUUUCCUGGUCUAUACUGCUCAUCCAUGCUGUCUGAUCCUUGGUUUUCUGAUCAUCGCACGAUGGUAUUAACAUCUGCUUGGAGAAGUACUGAAGUGAUACUGUCAAUAGAUGUGUUAAGUGGGGAAGUAACCAGAAUAAGUCCAGAAGACUCAGGUUACUCAUGGAGCGCCCUUGCAAUAAAUGGCAACAAUGUCCUCUCUGUGUCGAGCAGUCCCAUCGACCCUCCUCAAAUCAGGUAUGGCCGUCGAGCGUCAACAGAGGAUCAUGGUACACGCGCAUGGGUCUGGGACGAAGUUACGAGCCCGUUGACAGCAGCCAGUAACAAGAUAAAGGCUUUGUUAUCUCAUCACAAGUUGAGCAUACUCAGAGUCCCGGUCCCUAACCCCUCUGAUGAACUCUCUGACGGUGGUCGGCUUCCAUUUGAGGCCAUCUUUGUGUCCUGCGAGGAUAGUUCACAGAAACCAACUGUUUUAAUCCUUCAUGGUGGCCCACACUCAACAUCUGUAUCAAGCUAUUCGAAAUCGUCGGCGUUUCUUGUGUCACUUGGGUUUAACCUGCUUAUUGCAAAUUAUAGAGGUACCCUGGGUUACGGAGAGGAGGCUUUGCAAUCACUCCCUGGGAAGGUUGGAUCUCAGGAUGUCCAAGAUUGUCUUGCAGCACUAGACCACGUGAUCAAGGAAGGGCUGGUGGAUGCAUCCAAAGUAGCAGUUGUCGGGAUCUCGCACGGCGGCUUCUUGACAACCCAUUUAAUCGGCCAGGCUCCUGAGAGAUUUGCUGUGGCGGCGGCUCGAAACCCGGUCUGUAACCUGUCACUGAUGAUUGGCACCACAGACAUCCCAGAUUGGUGCUACGCCGUGGCCUGCGGGACUCAAGCGAGGCGUCUCGCCUCUGAAUCACCUUCACCUGACCACCUUCAAAUCUUCCACCAGAAAUCACCGAUUGCCCAUAUUUCAAAAGUGAAAGCGCCUUUGCUUAUGCUUCUUGGAGGAGCAGAUCUCCGGGUACCCGCUUCCAAUGGCCUACAGUAUGCAAGGGCUCUGAGAGAGAGAGGAGGCGAGGUCAAAACCAUCAUGUUCCCAGAGGAUACGCACGAAAUCGAUAUACCGCGGUCGGAUUUUGAGAGCUUCCUCAACAUGGGAGUCUGGUUCAAGAAAUAUCUGAAACUGAUCUGA